UUAUUGCAAUUUUGUUGCGGCCUCGAGCGCAUCAAAGUGGCUUUUGGCAAAACAGAAUUGCAUACAGUAAAAAAUAAGAAGCUAAGGCGGGACUUCUGGAGUUUUAGAAGUUCUUCGUGCGAUAUUCUUUGUACAUCGAGCAUCCUGUUUCCACGGCGGUGACGGUCCGAUUCUGUGCCGUUACUUAUCUAAAAACAGGCAGAGCAACAGGCAACCCGAUAUUGUCUAUACUGGAGAGCUCACCUUUACAGACACUUUUAGUUGCCACAAAC